UGAACGCUGGCGGUAGGCCUACCACAUGCAAGUCGAACGGCAGCACAGUAAGAGCUUGCUCUUACGGGUGGCGAGUGGCGGACGGGUGAGGAAUACAUCGGAAUCUACUUUUUCGUGGGGGAUAACGUAGGGAAACUUACGCUAAUACCGCAUACGACCUACGGGUGAAAGCAGGGGAUCUUCGGACCUUGCGCGAUUGAAUGAGCCGAUGUCGGAUUAGCUAGUUGGCGGGGUAAAGGCCCACCAAGGCGACGAUCCGUAGCUGGUCUGAGAGGAUGAUCAGCCACACUGGAACUGAGACACGGUCCAGACUCCUACGGGAGGCAGCAGUGGGGAAUAUUAGACAAUGGGCGCAAGCCUGAUCCAGCCAUACCGCGUGGGUGAAGAAGGCCUUCGGGUUGUAAAGCCCUUUUGUUGGGAAAGAAAAGCAGCAGGUUAAUACCCCGCUGUUCUGACGGUACCCAAAGAAUAAGCACCGGCUAACUUCGUG
rnacentral:rRNA from 1 species